ensembl:miRNA microRNA 23b
UGGGUUCCUGGCACGGUGAUUUGUGUUGUUGUAAUGAAAAUCACAUUGCCAGGGAUUACCACG